rnacentral:rRNA from 1 species
GAUGAACGCUGGCGGCGUGCUUAACACAUGCAAGUCGAACGAUGAAGCCCAGCUUGCUGGGUGGAUUAGUGCGAACGGGUGAGUAACACGUGAGUAACCUGCCCUUGACUCUGGGAUAAGCCCGGGAAACUGGGUCUAAUACCGGAUAGGAGCGCCUGUCGCAUGACGGGUGUUGGAAAGAUUUUUCGGUCAUGGAUGGACUCGCGGCCUAUCAGCUUGUUGGUGAGGUAAUGGCUCACCAAGGCGACGACGGGUAGCCGGCCUGAGAGGGUGACCGGCCACACUGGGACUGAGACACGGCCCAGACUCCUACGGGAGGCAGCAGUGGGGAAUAUUGCACAAUGGGCGGAAGCCUGAUGCAGCGACGCCGCGUGAGGGAUGACGGCCUUCGGGUUGUAAACCUCUUUCAGUAGGGAAGAAGCGAAAGUGACGGUACCUGCAGAAGAAGCACCGGCUAACUACGUG